UACGUAGGGUGCGAGCGUUGUCCGGAAUUAUUGGGCGUAAAGGGCUCGUAGGCGGUUUGUCGCGUCGGGAGUGAAAACCUUGGGCUUAACUCAGGGCUUGCUUUCGAUACGGGCAGACUGGAGGUAUGCAGGGGAGAACGGAAUUCCUGGUGUAGCGGUGAAAUUCGUAGAUAUCAGGAGGAACACCGGUGGCGAAGGCGGCUUUCUGGACGACAACUGACGCUGAGACGCGAAAGCGUGGGGAGCAAACAGG
rnacentral:rRNA from 1 species